rnacentral:rRNA from 1 species
AGCAGCCGCGGUAAUUCCAGCUCCAAUAGCGUAUAUUAAAGUUGUUGCAGUUAAAAAGCUCGUAGUUGAAUUUCGGGGUCAGUAGGUUGGUCAUGCCUCCGGUAUGUACUGGUCUCACUGAUUCCUCCUUCCUGAUGAGCCGUAAUGCCAUUAAUUUGGUGUUGCGGGGAAUCUGGACUGUUACUUUGAAAAAAUUAGUGUGUUUAAAGCAAGCUAACGCUUGAAUACAUUAGCAUGGAAUAAUGGAAUAGGACGUUCGAUCCUAUUUUGUUGGUUUCUAGGGUUGACGUAAUGAUUAAUAGGGAUAGUUGGGGGCAUUAGUAUUCAAUUGUCAGAGGUGAAAUUCUUGGAUUUAUUGAAGACUAACUACUGCGAAAGCAUUUGCCAAGGAUGUUUUCAUUAAUCAAGAACGAAAGUUAGGGGAUCGAAGACGAUCAGAUACCGUCGUAGUCUUAACCAUAAACUAUGCCGACUAGGGAUCGGAUGAUGUUAAUUUUUAAUGACUCAUUCGGCGCCUUAA